GCCUCGGUAGCUCAGCCGGGUGGAGCACCGGCUUGGUAAGCCGGGGGUCGCGGGUUCAAAUCCCGCCCGAGGCU
rnacentral:tRNA from 1 species